rnacentral:rRNA from 1 species
UACAGAGGUCCCAAGCGUUGUUCGGAUUCACUGGGCGUAAAGGGUGCGUAGGCGGGUCUUUAAGUCAGGGGUGAAAUCCUGAAGCUCAACUCCAGAACUGCCUUUGAUACUGAAGAUCUUGAGUUCGGGAGAGGUGAGUGGAACUGCGAGUGUAGAGGUGAAAUUCGUAGAUAUUCGCAAGAACACCAGUGGCGAAGGCGGCUCACUGGCCCGAUACUGACGCUGAGGCACGAAAGCGUGGGGAGCAAACAGG